GUCUGCGAUAUAUUGUAGGCGGCCAAGCGAAAGCGUUAAGCAUCCCACCUGGGGAGUACGCCGGGCAACGGUGAAACUCAAAGGAAUUGACGGGGGCCCGCACAAGCGGAGGAACAUGUGGUUUAAUUCGAUGAUACGCGAGGAACCUUACCCGGGCUUGAACUGCAGGGGAACGAUACAGAGAUGUUGAGGCCCUUCGGGGCUCCUGUGGAGGUGCUGCAUGGUUGUCGUCAGCUCGUGCCGUGAGGUGUCGGCUUAAGUGCCAUAACGAGCGCAACCCCUUUCGCCAGUUGCCAUCAGGUGAUGCUGGGCACUCCGGCGACACUGCCACCGCAAGGUGUGAGGAAGGUGGGGAUGACGUCAAAUCAGCACGGCCCUUACGUCCGGGGCUACACACGUGUUACAAUGGGUGGUACAGAGAGUCAGCGGCCGGCAACGUCCGCUUAAUCAUGAAAGCCAUCCUCAGUUCGGAUUGGGGUCUGCAACCCGACCCCAUGAAGCUGGAUUCGCUAGUAAUCGCGCAUCAGCCAUGGCGCGGUGAAUACGUUCCCGGGCCUUGUACACACCGCCCGUCAAGCCAUGAAAGCCUGGGGCGCCUGAAGUCCGUGACCGCGAGGGUCGGCCUAGGGUGAAACAGGUGAUUGGGGCUAAGUCG
rnacentral:rRNA from 1 species